UGCCGGUCUUGCGCGACCACGGAAUGUAUCAUGGAAAAUAGAGGCUUUUUGAAGAAGACUAAAGUGAACAGCAUUUCUUCAGAUAUUGAGUUCCCCUGACCCUCCAUGAACAAUCAAAGAAUAGAAAAAAGUAAUAUCCAGGAAAAGGAGUCUAUGCUGGCCAGAUGUUCUUCUUGAUUAUGAGACUGCUUCAAACCAGUUCAACCAAGUCACCCAAACACUGGGCCUAGAUGACCACGUCACAGGCUGAUGGUUCAACAAGCCUGUCUUUUUACAUAUUAAGGCUUCUUAUCUGAAGAUGGACUCAGGUUUAGCAGAUCAUCAGCAUUGUCCACGAUCAAUUGCUCUGAUUAAGCUAUCCCUGAACCAAUUCAUCAAACUGUUCACAAAAUGCUGGCUACUAGGACGGUCUCCCAGCAUUGCCACCUCCAUUCCUACAACCAGAUGACAAGAACAAAGACUUUGCUUUGUCUGUUUCUACAGCUCUUGCCUCGUUGUUGUACACUGAUUUGUAGAUUGUACUUC